rnacentral:tRNA from 1 species
GUCUCAGUAGCUCAGUUGGAUAGAGCACAUGCCUCCUAAGCAUGGGGCCGAGGGUUCGACUCCCCCCUGGGACG